rnacentral:rRNA from 1 species
AUUGAACGCUGGCGGCAUGCCUUACACAUGCAAGUCGAACGGCAGCGGGGGAGAAGCUUGCUUUUCCUGCCGGCGAGUGGCGAACGGGUGAGUAAUACAUCGGAACGUGCCCUGUAGUGGGGGAUAACUAGUCGAAAGAUUAGCUAAUACCGCAUACGACCUGAGGGUGAAAGUGGGGGACCGCAAGGCCUCAUGCUAUAGGAGCGGCCGAUGUCUGAUUAGCAAGUUGGUGGGGUAGAGGCCUACCAAGGCGACGAUCAGUAGCUGGUCUGAGAGGACGAGCAGCCACACUAGGACGGAGACACGGCACAGACUACUACGGGAGGCAGCAGUGGAGAAUUUUGGACAAUGGGCGGAAGCCUGGUCCAGCACUGCCGCGUGUGUGAAGAAGGCCUUCGGGUUGUAGAGCACUUUUGUCCGGAAAGAAAUGGCUCUGGUUAAUACCUGGGGUCGAUGACGGUACCGGAAGAAUAAGGACCGGCUAACUACGUGCCAGCAGCCGCUGUAA